CGAAGGCCCCGAGCGUUAUCCGGAUUUAUUGGGCGUAAAGAGUGCGCAGGAGGUUCUGCAAGUCUCGCGUUAAAGCCCACAGCCUAACUGUGGAAGCGCGCGGGAUACUGCAAAACUAGAGGAUGUUAGAGGUUACUAGAACUCACGGUGUAGGGGUGAAAUCCGUUGAUAUCGUGGGGAAUACCAAAGGCGAAGGCAUGUAACUGGAACAUUCCUGACUCUCAUGCACGAAAGCGUGGGGAGCAAAAAGGAUUAGAUACCCUUGUAGUCCACGCCCUAAACGAUGCCGACUAGCUGUUUCGAGUAUCGACCCUCGGAGUGGCGUAGCUAACGCGUUAAGUCGGCCGCCUGGGAAGUACGAUCGCAAGAUUA
rnacentral:rRNA from 1 species